rnacentral:lncRNA from 1 species
CCUAGACUGAAUACACUUCGGACUGUAGUUUCAACGUACCAUCUGCUCGUAUGCUUUUCGACAAAGUAUGGAACUGAUGAAAUAUGAGGAGAUCAAUAGCUAAUCGGACAAUAUUACUUAAUCAUGAUCAAAGAAAAAAAAUCCAUGAAAGCCCUUCCGAUUGAUGGAUUGGAUCAAAGAGAAGAAGAAAGUCAGAAAGAACUUGCUGUUCAACUUGCUGAACA